rnacentral:rRNA from 1 species
UUUAAAUGUAAAAUAAAUAUACUAAAUUAGUAUUAGUUAUGUUCUUGAAAUUUAAAGAUUUUGGCGGUAUUUUAGUCUAUUUAGAGGAGCCUGUUCUAUUAUUGAUAAUCCACGAUUAAUUUUACUUAAUUUAAAUAAAUUUGUAUACCGUCGUUAUAAGAAGAUUUUAAAAGAAUAUAAAUUUUUAGUAUUUUAUAUAAAAAAAUAUAUCAGAUCAAGGUGCAGUUUAUAGUUAAGUAGAAAUGGGCUACAAUAAAUUUAUUUAUACGGAUUAGAAGGAGAAUAUAUUUCUAUGAAGGUGGAUUUAAUAGUAAUAAAAUUAAUUUAAAUUUUAUGAUUUUAGCUCUAAAAUAUG